rnacentral:rRNA from 1 species
AACGCGAAGAACCUUACCAACUCUUGACAUCCCAGUGACCGUUCUAGAGAUAGAACUUUCCCUUCGGGGACAAUGGUGACAGGUGGUGCAUGGUUGUCGUCAGCUCGUGUCGUGAGAUGUUGGGUUAAGUCCCGCAACGAGCGCAACCCUUGUCCUUAGUUGCCAGCACGUAAAGGUGGGGACUUUAAGGAGACUGCCGGUGAUAAACCGGAGGAAGGUGGGGAUGACGUCAAAUCAUCAUGCCCCUUAUGAGUUGGGCUACACACGUACUACAAUGGCUGGUACAAAGAGAAGCGAACCUGCGAGGGUAAGCGGACCUCAUAAAGCCAGUCUAAGUUCGGAUCGCAGUCUGCAACUCGACUGCGUGAAGUCGGAUUCGCUAGUAAUCGCAGAUCAGAAUGCUGCGGUGAAUACGUUCCCGGGUCUUGUACACACCG